rnacentral:snRNA from 1 species
ACUCAUACCUUGCAGGGGAAAUACCAUGGUCAUGAAAGUGGUUUUCCUAGGGUGAGGCUCAUCCAUUGCACUUUAGGUGUGCUGAUCCCUAUGAUUUCGCCAAAUGUGGGGAACUCAACUGCAUAAUUUGUGAUAGUGGGGGAUUGCAUUUGUGCAGUCCCUGG